UACGAGGGGGGGCGAGCGUUGUUCGGAAUUAUUGGGCGUAAAGGGUGCGUAGGCGGUUUGGUAAGUCUGAUGUGAAAUCUCUGGGCUCAACUCAGAGUCUGCUGCAGAAACUGCCGUGCUUGAGUGUGGGAGAGGUGAGUGGAAUUCCCCGGUGUAGCGGUGAAAUGCGUAGAUAUCGGGAGGAACACCUGUGGCGAAAGCGGCUCACUGGACCACAACUGACGCUGAGGCGCGAAAGCUAGGGGAGCAAACAGG
rnacentral:rRNA from 1 species